AAUGAACAUCAAUAUUUAAAUGUCUGAAUUAUCUUAGGCUUGUAAAAAACCAAUUAGCUACUCCCUGGGCUCAGUGUUUGGGGCCUCCCUGGGGUAUAGUAUGGGACUGUUUAGUUCUUGCGGUCAGAGGCGGAAAGCUCAGGGAGAGGUCAGAGUGGCAAGGGGUCAUUGCAGGGUUAGUGGGGUCUCCUGGGACGAACUGUCCUGAAGGGGCAGGCCAGGGCGGGGUCAGGAGUCUGUGGCAGGCCUUGUAAGGCUGUCAGGAAGGAUUCAGCAGGACUGUUGGCAGCAUGCGGAACACUUGGCCAGAUUAGCUGCAUCAUGGAAAACAUGUCACAGACUCCAGCCUUCCAUUCUGGGAGGUUAGGGCCAUCUCUGGCUCCAGAACCCUGGAUCUGUUUGUGGCAACAGUGGACCCAGCUGCAGGUGGCAUACAGGAUUUCCCAACCUCCAUGGCAGCUGAGGGUGAUGAAAGAGGAGUAACUUACCAGCUGCCAGAUGUGUCGAUGUCAUUUAAUUCUUAUGCCACCUCUAUGAGGUUGAAUAUUACCUUUAAGGAAACAACAGCGGGGGCCGGCCCCUUGGCACAGUGGUAAAGUUCGCAUGCUCUGCUUUGGUGGCCUGGGGUUUCGCCGGUUUGGAUCCUGGGCAUGGACACAGCACCGCUCAUCAGGCCACGCUGAGGUGGUGUCCCACAUGCCACAACUAGAAGGACCCACAACCAAAAUAUGCAACUAUGUACUGGGGGGAUUUGGGGAGAAAAAGCAGAAAUAAAAAAAAAUAAGAUUGGC
rnacentral:lncRNA from 1 species